GCGCGUUCUCGGGGCGGGGUGGAAGUCCCCACCGGCGGUGACGGCGUUCCGGGCGACCGGAGAGCCGAAGCCCGCGAGCGCCCUCCGGGCCGGCGGUCCGGAGGGGUCAGCAGAUUCGGUGCGAUUCCGAAGCCGACGGUCACAGUCCGGAUGGAAGAGAACGGAA
rnacentral:ncRNA from 2 species